rnacentral:rRNA from 1 species
UACGUAGGGUGCAAGCGUUUGUCCGGAAUUAUUGGGCGUAAAGAGCUCGUAGGCGGUCUGUUGCGUCGGCUGUGAAAACCCGGGGCUCAACCCCGGGCCUGCAGCCGAUACGGGCAGACUAGAGUUCGGCAGGGGAGACUGGAAUUCCUGGUGUAGCGGUGAAAUGCGCAGAUAUCAGGAGGAACACCGGUAGCGGAAGGCGGUCUCUGGGCAUACCUGACGCUGAGGAGCGAAAGCGGGUGGGAGAACAGG